rnacentral:misc_RNA from 1 species
AAGUCGUAACAAGGUUUCCGUAGGUGAACCUGCGGAAGGAUCAUUACAACGUUCCAACGUAUAAACAAACGCGAACAGUCCUUUGGGUUUCAGUGGAACCGGGACAAGCCGGUCUGAAGUUAUUCGGUCGAACUACAUGGUUAGCCUCUAGAUGGAGUUUGUUUGGACUUGUCCGAAUGAACUGAGACUCUAGUUCUUGGCCUGGAUCAGCCCCAGUGGCCGUUCCAAACUUCGCCACACCCAAAGUGUAAAUUUUCCCACCAUCGGGAACUCCAAUGUUGAACCCCUUUAUUAACCCUUUGUAACCUUUGAACUGAAACUUGUAAACACUGCGGCUUUCCUUGUUGGCUUCGGUCACGGAUAGCGCUAACGCAGUGCUUUACUAUUCUUACGAAAUAUAAGAACAACUCUUAACAACGGAUAUCUUGGUUCUC